rnacentral:rRNA from 1 species
CUACGGGACGCUCCAGUUAGGAAUAUUCUACAAUGCGCGCAAGCGUGAUAGAUUGAGCCAGAGUGCUUUUCAAUUGAAAAGCUUUUGUGAAAUGCAAAAAGUUUCACGAAUAAGGACUGGGUAAGACUAGUGCCAGCCGCCGCGGUAAUACUAGCGGUCCAAGUCGCAGCCAUUUUUAUUGGGUCUAAAACAUCCGUAGCUUGCUUAAUAAGUUCCUUGUGAAAUUUUAUCUCUCAAAGAUAAAGCGCGCAAGAAAGACUGUUGAGCUAGAGACUGGAAGACGUAACGAGUACGUUCGGAGUAGCGGUAAAAUGUGUUAAUCCUGGACGGACUAACAAUAGCGAAGGCACGUUACGAGGACAGUUCUGACAGUAAGGGAUGAAGGCUAGGGGCGCAAAACGGAUUAGAUACCCUGGUAGUC